rnacentral:rRNA from 1 species
CGGGACGGGUGGAGUAAUGUCGUAGGGAAACGUCGCCUGAGGAGGGGGAAUAACUACGGGAAACGGUAGCUAAUACCGCAUACGUCGCAAGACCAAAGAGGGGGACCUUCGGGCCUCUUGCCAUCGGAUGUGCCCAGAUGGGAUUAGCUAGUAGGUGGGGUAACGGCUCACCUAGGCGACGAUCCCUAGCUGGUCUGAGAGGAUGACCAGCCACACUGGAACUGAGACACGGUCCAG